rnacentral:rRNA from 1 species
AUUGAACGCUGGCGGCAGGCCUAACACAUGCAAGUCGAACGAGUGGCGGACGGGUGAGUAAUGUCUGGGAAACUGCCUGAUGGAGGGGGUUAACUACUGGAAACGGUAGCUAAUACCGCAUACCAUCGGAUGUGCCCAGAUGGGAUUAGCUAGUGGGUGGGGUAACGGCUCACCUAGGCGACGAUCCCUAGCUGGUCUGAGAGGAUGACCAGCGACAGUGGAACUGAGACACGGUCCAGACUCAUACGAUAGGCAGCAGUGGGGAGUAUUGCGAAAUGGGCGCAAGACUGAUACAGCCAUGCCGCGUGUAUGAAGAAGGCAGUCGGGGUGUAAAGUACUUUAAGCGGGGAGGCGUUACCCGCAGAAGAAGCACCGGCUAACUCCGUGCCAGCAGCCGCGGUAAUUC